UAUUGGACAAUGGGCGAAAGCCUGAUCCAGCCAUGCCGCGUGAGUGAUGAAGGCCCUAGGGUUGUAAAGCUCUUUCGUGCGGGAAGAUAAUGACGGUACCGCAAGAAUAAGCCCCGGCUAACUUUGUGCCAGCAGCCGCGGUAAUACGAAGGGGGCUAGCGUUGCUCGGAAUCACUGGGCGUAAAGGGUGCGUAGGCGGGUUCUUAAGUCAGAGGUGAAAUCCUGGAGCUCAACUCCAGAACUGCCUUUGAUACUGAGAGUCUUGAGUAUGACAGAGGUGAGUGGAACUGCGAGUGUAGAGGUGAAAUUCGUAGAUAUUCGCAAGAACACCAGUGGCGAAGGCGGCUCACUGGGUCAUUACUGACGCUGAGGCACGAAAGCGUGGGGAGCAAACAG
rnacentral:rRNA from 1 species